GCGCCGUUAGCUCAGCCCGGUCAGAGCAGGGGCCUCUUAAGCCUCGGGUCCACAGUUCGAAUCUGUGACGGCGCA
rnacentral:tRNA from 2 species